CUAAGUGAUCUUGACCUAGAGACAAACUUAUCACACACACUUCUUUCUGCCCUCUGUUUCGCAAAGAAAAUCAUCCUGAACUGGAAAACUAAAAAGAAAUUAAACAUUACUCAGUACUUGAACAGUCUGUUAGGUAACACCACCUUAGACAUAUUGUAUGCUUGCUCAAAUCAAUAACCGACACUAUACUCUCAUCGAUUCCAUUUCUAGGUAGAGAUGUGUGGAGCUCAGGUGCUGCACCGUGCCUGAGCGGUGGUGGGGGGGUGCCUGGUGGUUGGGAGUGCCUGCCUGCCUGCCUGCCUAAGGAACUGGGGCAACGGGGCUGGUGGAUUCUUCAUAUUCAUUCAUAUGUGUGAUGCUCGUCCCACCCUGACGGUGCUGCCUCCCUCCAGGGAGGAGCUGCAGCAGGAGAAGGUCACGCUCACGUGUCUGGCCAACAAGGGCUUCCCCUCAGACUGGACUCUGUCCUGGAAGCUGGACGGCAGCGGCAGCAGCAGCAGCUCUGACCAGAGCAGGAGCCCUGGGGUUCUGGAGAAGGACGGACUCUACAGCUGGAGCAGCACCAUGAUUUACUGAUACUCUACUGCUGGUUCUACUCUCUUACUAGUCUCAUUUCAGUUUGUGUAGCUCUGUCUCUGUCUCAUUUCUGUAAUGCUUGGGAACAACAAAGAUUUUAUUUGGUAUAUCUUAUUUGGAUGGAUCACUUUUGUGUUUUUUUUAGUCUUUUUUUUCCUUUAUAAUAUAUGUAUUACAUAAAACAUAUGAGAGAAGAAGGAGAAGUAAAUUAUACCAUUACUGGGCAAAUCCCUAAAUUAAUGAAGCCAGGCGUUCAACUUCAUAGCCACGUUCACGUCUACUUCCUGUUUUAUUCUUAGCUCACUUCCUGUUCUGCCAUCAGAAUUAGUUUCUGCUUUACUUCCGGAGCUCAUUGGCCAGCACCUGCUACCUGUUGAUAAUUACCUCCUCUGCAUUUAAGCACCAGCCGUAACCAGUUGCCAGAUUGUCUGUGUGGUUUUUGCCAGCUUCCCAGCGUUACUAUUACUUUGUCUACCGUGCAUUACUCUAGCCUACCCGACCUUGUUUCCGUCCAGCCUUUGACACAUCCCUACUUGUGAGUUUGACCUACGCCUUUUAAUUGACCACCGAGUGCCUAGUCUUGGUUGCUCCUGUUCUGCUUUCACUGUACCGACUCCUGCAUGUUCGACCAAGAUUCUGA